AUAAGAAGGCGGUGGGACCGACGCCAUCUCCCGACGACAGUCUAGCGGUUCCUUCGACGACCGUCGCUCCCUCCCGACGACGGCCUUUCUCUCUCCACUCGACGGCCUCAUCUCAGGGCUGCAUUCUCUCGGCGCACUUCUUCCUAAAUCGCGCUCUCUCCCGACGGCCGAUUUCGCUCGCCUCUCUCCGUCCCCCGACUCGCGACCGAGAAGCAAUCGCUCCGCCCUGCUCGAAGCAUUUCCUCGAGAAGCCUUAAAUCUGCGACCGCAAGUCAGCAACGCAAGAAGUGAAACUGCGACUGUCUCUCUCUACCCCUGUCCGGUUUUUCCGUUCUUGGCAAAUUCGAAGAUGAGCCCACUUCUGGAUACAUGAUCUUAGGCCGACCCGUCAAGUCGAAGCCCGACGUAAUCUCGCUGCUUCGCUCCACCGAGCUGUUGAUUCGCUUGUCUCCAGGGGGUUUCAAGAUUUUCCGGGGGCGCAAUCGCCUGUUCCGUCAUUGCAGACUUCCAGGCGAGAAGAAAUGUGCCCACAAUGAUCACCCCAACAACGAACCGCCUCCUUUGUCCUCUCUCGGUGCAUAAUUUUGCAAAAUGCAUGAUCAGCUUUAAAUCAUCGUUAUUUUUUCUCUCUGUUGAAAGCAAUCUUUGUUAUGGAUUGAUGAAGGCAUGAGUUGAAGAAAUCCUUGUUGUCCCAACUGCUCAACAGUGCUUCCAUGGAUGGCAAAAGCUCAUCUGAGUUGAGCCUUCCCUGGUUCUGGAUUAUUGAGUAUUCGGCAAAAUUCGAGCAAGUUAACCCAUCCCUCUUGCAUGGUAUCAUUAAAGCGGCUCCAGAGUUACCCGCUCACUUGGGAAAAAAUAUGGAAGAAGUUGUUUCUUUGAGAUGCUUGGAGGAGUUAUGUGGCCCUAGAAAUGGAAGCAUGAACAGUACUUGGUCCUCAUUGGGAUCAAAGGCGAAAAUUGAUACGUCAAAGAGCUGCAAAAAUGUCCUACAGUAAAUGUUCCAUAAUGGCUCUGCAUCUGAUCUUGAAGUGACUGCAAAUGAGUUGUUGAAAUGGGACCUUCACUCAUUUUUAACGCACAAGAGAACCUCUGUGCCAAAAACUGCUCUAGAGGAGCAAAACUAUAUCUUUUUAAAGGAGGAAGACAUACGACAACAUCAAGAGGAUGAUAUAAUGAGAGUUGCAGGCGUCCUAUCUAUACCUAGAGUUGCUGCUAUCACCCUGCUGCGCCAUUACAAUUGAUAAGGGGGUCCUUCGUUGGUGCUUUAGCUGUCGCGCCUGAUGUGCUAUAUGAUGUGGCUUUCUUGACAGUCAACCUGUAUAUGUAAUUUAUUUUUGGAAAAUUGCAUUUAUCUCCACGCUGCUGCUUUUAGUUGUGGUAAUUGAGUUGUCUAUAGAAAUGCUUGAUGUCGUGAUGUUUAGGUGGUGAGUUAAAAUUUAAGUUUCUGCCAUUCCUGCUAUGCUUUUUAAUAGAUUAAGUUGGCAUUGCAGGAGUGUAAGUAAAGUUCAUGAUGCACGGUUUGCUGAUGAAGAUAGAGUGUGAAAAGCAGUGGCCUUAUUGGAAAGACCGGUUGUUGAGCAUCCUAAUUUAAGAAAACUUACCUGUGGAAUCUGUUUUGAGUCCUAGAAUCCUGCAUAUCAUUUCAUAUCUGUUAGGAAAGCCGAGCAACAACCACAUAUUUGCACAUAAUGACAUUUCUGGACACUUGAAUCACUAUUUUAUUUAAGA